ensembl:lincRNA Bvht braveheart long non-coding RNA
CUGAGCUUGGAAGGAAGAGGAAAGAGCUGCAGAGGCGGAGACUCUGACCCCAAAGCGAUCGAGGGCCCUCCCCUGGCUUCCGUGUCCCUGUGGCAGGCGGUGGUGGUCGAAAUCUCUGCCCCUCAGAGUCCUGGGGAGGAUGGAUGGAACAGGAGGAGCAUCAUGAGAAGGCUUCCUGUAAACUACGGAGGGUGCUCGUGGAAGCCAGCAGAGGGUGUAGGGUCUCCUGGAGCCACAUCUCUGGAGUUACAUGAAGUUGUGGACCUCUCAACAUGGGUUCUGGGAACUGAACCCAGGUCCUCUGGAAGGACAUCGAGUGCUCUUAACCACUGAGCCAUCUCUGCAGCCUAACCCCAUCCCUUGGAGGCUGAAGCAAAGCAAGUUCAAUGACCGUGCGACCUGGCUCUUGUUUGGGCCUAAGGAAAAGCCGACUGUAAGCCGGAAAGCAUCUCUGGCAAGAACAAGGAAGGAUUAAGCACGUCU